rnacentral:misc_RNA from 1 species
GAUGAAGAACGCGGCGAAAUGCGAUAAGUAAUGUGAAUUGCAGAAUUCAGUGAAUCAUCGAAUCUUUGAACGCACCUUGCGCCCUUUGGCCAUUCCGAAGGGCAUGCCUGUUUGAGUAUCAUGAACACCUCAACUCUUCAUGGUUUUCCAUGAUGAGCUUGGACUUUGGGGGUCUUGCUGGCCUGUGGGUCGGCUCCUCUCAAAUGAAUCAGCUUGCCGGUUUUUGGUGGGCAUCACAGGUGUGAUAACUAUCUACGCUUGUGGUUUUCCACCAGGGUAACCUUCAGCAGUGGAGGUUCACUGGAGCUUACAAAUGUCUCUCCUCUGUGAGGACAGCCCUUUGAAUGUUUGAUCUCAAAUCAGGUAGGACUACCCGCUGAACUUAAGCAUAUCAAUAAGCGGAGGA